rnacentral:misc_RNA from 1 species
GAAUAGGUAAACUUAUCAAAUGACCAGAAUAUUUGAGUUGAUAAUGUGAUAAACAUUUAAAUGUGUGCUUCAAUGGCGAAUUAUACCACAAAGUUCUGGAUGAACCUUUUCUUCCCCCUUUUUCCUUUUAAGCAUAUCAUCAUAAGAAGAAACAAACAACUAAUUUUAGAACUUUGCCCUCACAAAGACACAAAAGUUCACCAAGAAGGAGGGAAUCUAAAGACCAGAACAUUCACAAAUGUAUUGUAAUGGCAAAAAUCAAUUGCACAUGUAUUAUUAACUUGAUGGCAACACAGCAUCACCACCAACUCACCAGUGUUCCUUGAAAAUGAGGGGAUAAAGGAAGAGUGUGCAACUGUGCAUGCUACCCAUGCAAUGGCUUCUCAUAAAAGAAACUCUUUAAAUAAAGGAGUUAUUUUACCUUUUGUGGAUGCCACAACAGGCAAUAAAAUCAAGGAAUGGUACACAUACACA